rnacentral:tRNA from 1 species
UCUAUUGUGGCAGAACAAUGCGAUGAAUUUAAAAUUCAUUUAUAAAUAUAUAUAUUUCUUUAGAAAUU